UAGGCGGUAUCCGAAAAGCCUUAACAGAGUAGGAA
ncrna:unclassified sequences DTF805b RNA